rnacentral:rRNA from 1 species
AUUGAACGCUGGCGGCAGGCCUAACACAUGCAAGUCGAGCGAGAGGCGGACGGGUGAGUAAUGUCUGGGAAACUGCCUGACGGAGGGGGGGAAAAAUUGGAAACAGUAGCAAAUAUACCAUACCAUACGAUAUGCCCAGAUGGGAUUAGAUAGAAGGUGGGGUAAAGUCUCACCUAGGCGACGCUCUCUGGCUGGUCUGAGAGGAUGACCAGCCACACUGGAACUGGGACACGGUCCAGACUCCUACGGGAGGCAGCAGUGGGUAAUAUUGCACAAUGGGCGAAAGCCUGAUGCAGCCAUGCCGCGUGUGUGACGAAGGCCUUCGGGUUUUAAAGCACUUUCCGCGAGGAGGCGUUACCCGCAGAAGAAGCACCGGCUAACUCCGUGCCAGCAGCCGCGGUAAUAC